UCAGUUGGUUAGAGCGCGCGCUUGAUAAGCGUGAGGUCGGAAGUUCAAGUCUUCCCAGGCCCACCAGCCUUCGCGCUUCGCUGCUUCGGCUAGGCAGGCCUUCCAAGAUGAAGGCUGCUGCGCCGCAGCCUUGGCGAAGGCGAGCGGGUAUCAACGAAUGCGCUUCGUCUUCUGGUACGGGGCCAUAGCUCAGCUGGGAGAGCGCGUGCUUUGCAAGCAUGAGGUCGUCGGUUCGAUCCCGUCUGGCUCCACCAGAUGGAAUUGAAGCUCGAGAAUACGCCUUGCUUGAGAGGCUCUGUUCAUAUCGUCCGCGAAACAUCACUUCGCACGCAUUGGUCCGGAUGGACGGUGACGUGCGUGUUUUCUGACAUCGUAAAGAGGAGAUCGAUCCGAGUUUGGAUCCAGCGAAGCAAUUCGCGGGUACCAUUCCUAAUCUCCAGAUCGUUUUCGGCGCUCGCGCACCGCAGCUCAUCGCAAGAUGAGUGAGGUGAGCGAGUUGUAAAACGAUCUUUGUAGCGAAGCUUGACCGCCUCGCUAUCGGGCCGAUCUUACGAAGCAAGCUGGUCUUUCUAGUCAAUGUCCGGCUGCGCAAUCGCAUUCAUCGAGGAUGCGCGCCUGGGACUUCGGUCUUGGGCAAUUGUGCAGACAACAUUCUGCCGAGUGUGUGGACAUUGAUAAUGAGAGCAAUCAAGUGCCUUAAGGGUGUUCGGUGGAUGCCUUGGCGCUGAGAGGCGAUGAAGGACGUGCUACGCUGCGAUAAGCCGU
rnacentral:misc_RNA from 1 species